AAUAUUGGGACAUAUAAAAAAAGACAAUUCUGUUGCGCAGAGUAAUUGCUGACAUUAUAGUUGCGCAGGCACUUUGUUGACUCUAGAGAACCUCGGGCCAAUUGCAUGCGGAUGUCAUCCAUAUCAACUUUCAAUGCAACAUUUCUGCACCUACCCUGGUGACCAUGGGUAAUGGGGAAUCAGGGUUCCAUUCCCUACAGAGACCCUGUGAAACGGCUACCACAUGCAAGGAAGGCAGCAGGCGCGAAAAUGACCCACUCCCGACGCGGGAAGGUAGUGA